rnacentral:rRNA from 1 species
UCCUUUUGUAGAUAAUUUAAGGUCUAGCCUGCCCACUGAAAUUUUAAAUGGCCGUGGUAUUUUGACCGUGCUAAGGUAGCAUAAUCAUUAGUUUUUUAAUUAAAAACUGGAAUGAAAGGUUGGAUGAGAAAAUAGCUGUCUCUAUUAAAUUUAAUUAAAAUUUUAUUUUUAAGUUAAAAAGCUUAAUUAUUAUUAAAAGACGAGAAGACCCUAUAGAGUUUAAUUAUUUAGUAAAAAUUAUAUUUUAGUAUUAAUUUAUUUAUUUUAUUAAAUAAUUUAAUUGGGGUGAUUGAAAAAUUUAAUUAACUUUUUUUAUUUAAGAACAUUAAUUUAUGAAUAAAUGAUCCAAUAUUUUUGAUUAUAAGAUAAAAUUACCUUAGGGAUAACAGCGUAAUUUUUUUAGAAAGUUCAUAUUAAAAAAAAAGAUUGCGACCUCGAUGUUGGAUUAAAAUAAAUUUUUGGUGUAGAAGCUAAAAUAUUAGGUCUGUUCGACCUUUAAAAUUUUACAUGAU